AAGAGAGAGAGACACAAAGAAACCUCUGGAACCAUGGUGGGUUUAAGUGUUAUUAAAUGUUCUAUUAUUUUUGUUUAUUUGUCAUUCCUACUUCCCAUGAACUGGUUUCAAACCGGUAUGUGGCUAUUCUACGAAUGAAAUAAACAGGUCAAACCGGAUUACAGCUGUUAUGAUAUUUAUCAGAUGACAUUGUUCACACCCUUCACAGUUGGCACUCAACCAGAAGAGUUACAUGACGCAUAAAAACAGCUUAAGUGAAUAUAUACCAGUGGGAUGAGGCGCUACGCAGCUUGAGUAACGCAAAAGGAAUCAAUAUUCAACGCUAAUCAUCAUGUACGUGUGAAUAUGGACAUUUGUUUUGACUUCAAAAUGUAGCAUUGGAAUUUGUCAAAGCUCUUGAAGAUCCCCACCAGUUUAUUAGUAAGAAGUCUUACAGUGUGUAUGAGUGGUCGCUGGUUUAGACUUCGCGAUGAACGUUACUGUCUACCCAAAGCUUCCUUGCUCUUAUUAAAGAUUAGUAAUACAAAAGCUUUUCUUCUGUUUCUGCCAUGAAUGGAGGCUGCCCAGUUAAACUAAAAAGCACAGAAAAUCAUAAUAUUUCAAACACUUGGAAAACAGAUAUGGGGUACUAGGACUUCAACACCAAACAAAACAUUCUUCUUGUCUUAAUAAAAAAAAAGUUUGCCACUUUACCACAAAUACAAUCAUAUGAUCGUAAAAAAAAACAAAAAAAAAAUGAUCGUUGCAUAUCAUUUGGUUUUUAUACAGUCAAGUCUUGCCUUACGGAUACCCCGCUACAACGGACACCCCGAUAUUGCAGAAAGAAAAAUACAAAGAAAUAACUGAAAGUAACUCUCAUUACUAUGGACUCUCACUACUGCAGACACUAAAGUACGGUCCUGAGGGUGUCCGUAAUAGCGAGAGUUGACCAGACUGUACACUCAUUUAUCGAAAGCAUCUGUACUUACUUCAUUCAGAUCACAUAUAUUUUCUUUAUGUAAAAAAAAAAUAACUUAAAUCCCAGAAUUGAAAUAAUAUGGUUCAAAAUAUAAAAAAUACACAUUGGA